AUGGAAAUACAGAGGACAGAAAUGAAAGAUACAGAACAGAGUUACACAGAACUUCCAGAAACCACCGCUGCCAAGAUGUAUAAUAUGUGUGUGGAAGAGUACGAGCCUUACCCAGAUGAUGGCAUGGGGUAUGGCGGCUGCUACCCAAAAGUCCCUGACCGCUCACAGCAAGAGAGGGAUCCAUGGUAUGACUGGGACCAACAAGACAUGAAGUUGAACUGGAUGAAAUGAUACACUGGGAUCUAGAAAUGUAUAUCAGGAACCGUGUGGAUACGUUCCCCACACCUGUUUCUUGGGAUGACAUGUGUAGGCAGCUCUUUGGCUUCGUGGUUUUCAUGAUGUUGAUGUUCUGGGUAGGGCAUAGCUACCUUGUCUACCAGCCUGUGGCACCAAAGCAGUAUCCUUACACUGAUGUAUACCUGGAACGAGGCAGCCAUCCCUCCAAAGAACCUGAGCUGGUGGUUCAGUAUGAGAUCUGAGGAGGCUUCAUGGGCUUUUGUGCCCUCUAACUAGGACUCCCUCAUUCCUAGAAAUUUAACCUUAAUGAAAUCCCUAAUAAAACUCACUGCUGUG